rnacentral:rRNA from 1 species
AGCGAACGCUGGCGGCAGGCCUAACACAUGCAAGUCGAACGAACCUUUCGGGGUUAGUGGCGGACGGGUGAGUAACACGUGGGAACGUGCCUUUAGGUUCGGAAUAACUCAGGGAAACUUGUGCUAAUACCGAAUGUGCCCUUCGGGGGAAAGAUUAAUCGCCUUUAGAGCGGCCCGCGUCUGAUUAGCUAGUUGGUUGAGGUAAUGGCUCACCAAGGCGACGAUCAGUAGCUGGUCUGAGAGGAUGAUCAGCCACAUUGGGACUGAGACACGGCCCAAACUCCUACGGGAGGCAGCAGUGGGGAAUCUUGCGCAAUGGGCGAAAGCCUGACGCAGCCAUGCCGCGUGAAUGAUGAAGGUCUUAGGAUUGUAAAAUUCUUUCACCGGGGACGAUCAUGACGGUACCCGGAGAAGAAGCCCCGGCUAACUUCGU